rnacentral:rRNA from 1 species
AUUGAACGCUGGCGGUAUGCUUAACACAUGCAAGUCGAACGAUGAGAAAGAGCUUGCUCUUUCGAUUAGUGGCGGACGGGUGCGUAACGCGUAGGAAUCUACCUAUUAGUGGGGGACAACUUAGGGAAACUUAAGCUAAUACCGCAUACGCCCCACGGGGGAAAGAAGGGGAUCGCAAGACCUUUUGCUAAUAGAUGAGCCUGCGUAGGAUUAGCUAGUUGGUGGGGUAAAAGCUCACCAAGGCGACGAUCCUUAACUGGUUUGAGAGAAUGAGCAGUCACGCGGGAACGGAGACACGGUCCAGACUCCUACGGGAGGAAGCAGUGGGGAAUAUUGGACAAUGGGCGAAAGCCUGAUCCAGCAAUACCGCGUGUGUGAAGAAGGCCUUAGGGUUGUAAAGCACUUUCAAUUGGAAGGAAAACCUCGAAGCUAAUACCUUCGAGUUUGACAUUACCUUUAGAAGAAGCACCGGCUAACUCCGUGCCAGCCGCCGCAGUAA